rnacentral:precursor_RNA from 8 species
AACAUAAGGCUCUUAAAGUGUUGAGUUGGCAAAAAAGUUUGUUUGGGUUUUUCUGUAAUAUCUUAAAAACCCAGAUGAACUUUUUGGCCAACCCAGUGCUAAUGGAUAAUGAAGCUCA